UACGGAGGGUGCUAGCGUUGUUCGGAAUUACUGGGCGUAAAGCGCGUGUAGGCGGCCCGCUAAGUCUGAUGUGAAAGCCCGGGGCUCACCCCCCGGAAGUGCAUUGGAGACUGGCGGGCUCGAGUCCCGGAGAGGAGGGUGGGAAUUCCUGGUGUAGCGGUGAAAUGCGUAGAUAUCAGGAGGAACACCGGUGGCGAAGGCGGGACUCUGGGCCGAUACUGACGCUGGAGGAGCGAAAGCGUGGGGAGCAAACAGG
rnacentral:rRNA from 1 species